rnacentral:lncRNA from 1 species
UGUCACCCAGGCUGGAGUGCAGUGGUGUGAUCUUGGCUCACUGCAACCUCUGCCUCCCGGGUUCAAGCGAUUCUCCUGUCUCAGUCUCCUGAGUAGUGGGGACUACAGGCAGGCAACACCAAGCCUGGCUAAUUUUGUAUAUUUGGUAGAGACAGGGUUUCACCAUGUUGGCCAGGCUGGUCUCAAACUCCUGACUUCAGGUGAUCCUGACCUUGGCUUCCCAAAGUGCUAGGAUUCCAGGCGUGAGCCACCGCACCUGGCUUGCAAAUUUCUAUUUCUAAUUGAGCCAGCAUUUCUUCCCAAAGGUUCACUGGAAAAUCACUGACAUGAAGAAGAUUGAUUAAUAGGAAAAAAGGCAUACACAUUUAUUUAAUGUGUAUACACAGGAGCCUUCAGAAUGAAGACCCAAAGAUAGAGGGGAAAUUGUCCACUUUUACACUUAGGUUCAAGACAGUAUGGAUAGUCACAUAGAAAUAUGACUGGACAAAAAGGGUCUGAUGGAAUGCUAGACUAGACUGAGUAGAAAGCGCAGCAAGGCCUGUCUGCCUAGAUUCUUCCAGGCAUCCAUGCCGCAUUCCUUCCUUCUGGGUAUGGGACAGGAUCCUUUCUGGAGUGGGGGUCUUAUGACCUACAGUCAAAUAAGAUAGGUUAGAUGAGGUCUUUAUGGCCAGUUUUUACACAGAAAGGUGGAAGGAAAGCUAGAGUUGUAUUUUAGGUUUUAUGGCUGGCUUUGGGGAAAAGGGGUUCUGGUUUUUAUAUCCGCCUUGGGGAAGAGGGAUUCUGGUUUCUAUGGCUGGCCUCGGGGAGAAUGAGGGGCAAGAGAUAGGAGGGCAGGAGAAGAUCAGAGAAAAACUUUUGCUUCUGAGGCUAAGCCUUCCUUUUGGGGUAUUGUUUUCUGAGUCCCAACACUUGUUAUUUGGAACAACUCAUUAGAAUGUAGGGACUGGGGCUAUGUCAUGUAUUAACAUCUCCCAGGGAGCUGUCAGCCUCCCUCAGCAAAUGCUUCCUGAAUGCAUGAAUGAACCAAUGAGUGUUGGCCAUGCAAAGUCAGUAGUUUUCUGCCAACCCCAUGAGUUCCACCAGUCGUCUCCAGAGAUUCCUUGCAAAGAACUUGGUACUGGGGCAUGUACUUAUAAUGUCUCCUUCUUUUUCCUUCUAUUCUAUCAUCCUGUGUCUUGUCCAGCCUCCAGGAGUUCAGUGAGAAAGGAAACACACACACACACACUACAAAAACCAGGAGAAAAAAACCAUUAAAAAAUCCCACUGUAGGAAGAUUCUGCUGCCUCUAGACUUUAGGAAAGCCGCUGACCUAAUUCAUUUGCUAUGGUGGCUUUUUCAUCCUCAGGACUGGUGCUGCCUGUGUAGUUCAGCCUGUGAAGGCUCCCUUUCAAGUAGGCCAGCUGCAUGGUAUUCUGGACUUACAAUGUGCAGGGCAGAUGUAGUGUCCCCUUGAAAUACACUUAACGGUGGGCAACAAAAUCCAAAAGCAAACCCCCACAAAUAUCUAACUUAAAAAAAAAGAACUUUCUAGAUCUCAGUCCUCAUCUGGAUACUUCAUUAGGAUCCUGAGACAUCUGGGGACCAGCGAUGGAAAGAAGGAAAGAGACUUCCAUAUGUUGAGAGCCUAUUAUAUGCCUGCAUUGUGCUAAGCCCUUUCCCAUAUGUUAUCCAAUGUAAUCCCCCACAAAAGCCCUGCCAGAGUGGAAUUAUUCUUCUCAUUUUACAAAUAAGAAAACAGUAGCUCGGAGAUGCUAAGUUACUCGCCCAAGGUCACAUAGACGGUAAGUGGUAGAUGCUGAUUUGAAUCCAGACAGUGUCAUUAUCAAGGGGUGGUUUGGGAGGCUUUCGUUGUAACCAUCAUCUGUAGCAGCCCCCUUCUCCACAAUUAUCCCAAAUAAACACACAAUCUAAGUCGGAAGAGCCUACAGGAGGCAAAAAUGUAGCUUCAAUAUGUGCUUCCCUGUCAUCUCCCUUUCAUUGAGAUUAUUGCUGCCCCAAAUCCUGUCUACACAGACAUUCUGGAGUCCGUACUAAAUCAAGAUUUGUCUGGCUGCAAAGACCAUGUUCUGUCCAACACAACCAGGAUGCCUCUUCUCUUAGAUUCCUACCAAGAAGACCUUGCUUCUUGAAACCCUUACCUAGAAGAGCCAAUGAAUCAGUGUAGGAUUUCCCUAAUGGUGGCUGGCACCAUAGGUUCCAAAAUGUCACCACCAGCUCUAAGUCAUCAGCCCUUUAAACGCCUCCACACAUCCCGGGGUAUACUGACGCGAGGAGUCACAGUGGGUAAGCAUCACUAGGUUGCAGAAGCACUGGGCUAAUGGUGUGGAUGAGGGUUUCAAUUUACUUGGAAACAUCCACGGGCCAAGGUUCAGUUCAUUUUAGGUUUCGACUAAGUUUUUCCAGGCUCUAAAUGUAGAGAGCAGGGGUGUUUAAAGUGACUGUCCUGACACAGGCUGUUCCCUAGGGGCCACUCUAGCUUCCUUCUUGGAAGUGUGAUGUGGGUCCAGAGUUCAGGCCAGCCACGGUCUUGGAUUCCAGAUGGGAGUUCAUUUUUAGAGACCAAAUGGUCAUAAGUGAACAUGUCAUCUUGGGCUAGCUGGAAAAUACAAACACCAGCCCAGAGUCCAGGAAUUCAGGAUUGUAAAUAGGUGAAAGCACCCUUCACCUUCUCUCCUCCUUCCCUCAAGGUGGUUCACAUACAACUAUUAGCAAUUGACAUUCAUAGCUCUUGUACUUCACAGUAUUUUCAUGCCUGGGACUCUGUUUUGAUCCCUGCAAGUACAGUGUUAUGAUACUCCUUUUAUGGAUGAUGAAUUGGAGACACCAAGAGGUUCAGAGCUUCUUCCAAAGUCAUAGAGCCAGUGAGUUGUGAAGACGAGGGGCUCAGUCUUCCGAUUCAUGCAAAGGGUUGAUGUGACAUUUUCAGAGCCUAGUUCUAGCUUCAUUGUGCUGGAAAGUGGUCUUGGCCUGAGGACAGCAGGGUGCUUCAGAGUCCAGUCUGAUGCCCUUUGGCAGCCACACACCCUCCUGUGAAGGCACCACAAAUUCCUUGGGAGGGAGACGCGUUCCAGAUGUGUAUGCCGCCUCUAGAGAAAACGUGGCUUCUUCUGGUGAGCCACAUGCAAGGUGUCUCGCUGGCCACUGUGAAGUGGGGAGAGACGCCUGGAGCAAGCCAUGAUCUCUGCCAGCACUGGAAUCACCAACAUCCUUGAGCUUCCUUCAGUCUGAUGCAGAACCUGAGGACGUGGCCAUCUCUUGGUGGUGUUCUGGGAAAGCAGGAAGUCUUCAGACCUGAUUGUCUUCAGAUUUCAGCCAUGGGCUCCCUGGUGAGCCAUCUCAGGGGUAUAGGAAACAUGGAUGCCGCCCCGGAGGCAGCUCUCAGCGCAAUCUGGGAUCUCAGGGGCUGACAGCAGAGAAGUUACCUGAAGGCGCAACAAGCAGUGGUCCCUGUAGGCAGAAGCUACCUGGUGCCCCAGUGAUGUGGGAGGCCCUCAGUUCCUGCGCUUCUUGCUGCCUGGGCACAUGUUCCCGGAGGAUGGCAGGACCUCCUGGCCUCUCCCCUGUCUACCCGCCAGAGCUCUGCUUCUUAAGAUAAGACCACCUCUUUCCUCCAGCCAAUGUGCUGCUCUUCUGACUUCAAAACACUUGCACUUCCAGGGCUCAACGUACAGUGAGUUCUCAAGGAUUCGGUGAAUAAAUGUACAAAUGUCUCCCGUUACAGCUGCCACAUUCAGUGGGGUAGGUCUUAUGAUCAUUUCUCUGAGGAAGGGUGCUGUGCUCAUGGUCUCAGUCUGCAAAUUGCAGACUGAGAAUCCAACGAAGGCACCUGCUCUCUGCCCCCGCACCCCCCCACCGGCCCCAAGGCUGACCCUCUCCUCCCCUGGUAUCAGCUCGAAGCAUUGUUGGAGUCCCCAGGGACCCGGAUGCUUCCCUGUGUGCCCUGUCUUUGAGGUGCCCGCCAUCUCAAGUCAAGACACACAGCAGGGUGUGAGAGGCCAGGGAGCCCAUGGGAAUUCCAGGGGAUGCUCUCAGCGUGUUUUGUGAGGAACGACUGGCUCACCUAGUCAGGCCUGGGACAAAAUAUCACCUGCUGAAGGAUGAUUGGCUGUGGCGCUGGCCUUGUGCUGGAAGAGGGCCUCUGAGAGCACAGGGAACUGCCCCUGGGCAUUUUCUCACAAUUGUUCCGAGGGUUAGAGGCUGGAUCCCAGGAACCGCGUGUGGCCACUCUGUCCUUCUUCAGAGAGAGAUUCAACUUCCGGAGCCAGGGUCACCCCUAAUGGCUCACUUCCCUUCCUUCCCCUGCCAGGAUUUUCCCCCAGAUUAUCUUGGGGUUGUCUCAGCCCUUACCAUACCUCAUCCUUCCCAGCAGCAGCCCGCCAGCCCCACGCGGAGUGUUCUACUCUUUCCAAAGACAGCCCACAUUUCGGGGUCUCCUGCACCCCCAAAUGUGGGAUUGGUAAGAUGCACGCUUCCUGACUUGGGUUUCUUCUUUCAUUUGCAGUUAAAAACCAUGACCACAAAAGAGACAUCCACAACUCGCUGUAAUAGGCGCUUGCAUAAUAGACGUGGGGACAGUGUUUGGGGGAACAGGAUAGGGUGGCUCUGUUUUUCCAACAGUUGUGAGAUUCAUUUUGGUGAAGUAAGAAGGUUUUACAGGGUCCUCUAAGACAGAAGGGGUUUCCUGGGAAGGAAGCUGGCUUAUCAACCUGCCUCCUCUCGCUCACCUGGUGCUAGCUGCUUACUUUCCACCCUUUGCCCUCUGCUGAAGGGAGAGUUUGAACAUCUUUAGAUUCUUUUCUUUGCUUGGCAAGAUGUGCUGUAUUUAUUCAACUUAGCCUCAAGGUUAAGCACACAGACCCUUGUCAGAAGCCAGACAGCGAGUGUUCAAAUCCCAGCUGUGUCACUUACCAGCUCUGUCACACCUUGGGGAUGUGACUUCACUUGCCUUGAUUUCCUCAUCAGUGAAAUGGGGAUAAUAAUAGUACUUGCCCCAUAAACAGGGAUAAUAGUACUUACCUUAUAUAAUAAGGAUUACAUGUAAACAUUUAAUAUACAUAAAGCUCUUGUUUGUUUGUUUUUAGAGACAGGGUCUCAGUCUGUCAUCCAGGCUGGAGUGCAGUGGCAAGAUGCUAGCUCACUGCAGCCUUGACCUCCUGGGCUCAAGGAAUCUUCCUAUUUCAGCUUCCUGAGUAGCUAGGAGUACAGGUGCAUGCCACCAUACCUGGCUAUUUUUAAAACAUGCUUUUAUAUAGAUGGGGUCUUGCUCUGUUUCCCAGGCUAGUUUUGAACUUCUGGCCUCAAGCACUCCUCCCACCUCAGCCUCCAAAGUAUGGGGAUUAUAGGCAUGAGCCACUGUGCCCAGCCAAACAGCUCUUAAAAUAUACAAAAGCUCUUAAAAUAGUGCCUAGCACAGUGUUUACUAUUGUCACUAUCUACUUGGAUUCUCUGCCUGUUGGUCUCCACUUUGCACAAUUAUUUGUGGACAUUUGAGAUCGUCGAGUUCUCGAGAACCAGUCAGGCUGAUUUACCUCCAAUGUACGUGUAAUAUGUUUUUUUCCUUUUCUGGAACUGAGCAACAUCCUCCAAGUUUGUCCACUCUCCGAGUGUCUUAACUGCCCCCGGUAGAGAGGCAUUUAGCAAACAGAAACAGAUUACAGAGACCCUCGUGGCCACAUGCAAUUUGCAGUUGCUCUCAAGAGUGGGUGUGGUCACUUGUUGUUCCCUUUAGCCAUCAUAUCAGCUGCCUGGGUGAGGGGUCAGUGUGCCAAACGUUCCUGGUGGGAAAUGACUUGGUUUCCCAUAUGAGCCCCGACCUUCACUGGCCUCUCCCUCUUAGAACUCCCAUUAACCACCAUGUGUGCUGGUCACUGCAGCUGAAUCCAUCCACAGGGGCUGCCCAGAAAAAGACAAUGACUUCUGCAGGGCUGGGGAGGCUGUCCUCGUGAAAAUAACUGAAUCUACCCGAGUGUGUGGCCUGUGCUGGGGAAACGUGGGUGACUUGAAUGAUGUCAGGCAAUCAGUGCAAUUGAAAUAUGUCAAAAAUGGCUCCAUCAACGCACCCGGCUCAUAUUUAGCUAUAAAAUGUGAGGCCAGGUUACGAACCGGAAGCAUUUCUUUCAACCAAAGUCAUUUGGAAAGGAAUAUCUUUGACACAUCCUUGCUGCCCCUUCCCCCAUUGCGGUGUCCCUGGCUGUGUGGCUGGCAGCCUGGCUCUUGGUGAGUCGCAGCUGCACCUGUGCCCACCUUCUCACCACGGGAGUAGGUGCUUCUCCUUUGGGCACCUUCUGGCUUUGCACCGUAAAAGUGAAAUACGGUGUGGUCCUGCAAGCUGCUUCUCCAGUGAUGUGAAAAGCGUAAGAGAGAGGCUCUGGGAAGGGGCAGAUGCUGCAGGUGCAAUGAUGCCAGCUGUUGAGGACGGUGCCCUGUGCCUGGGGAAGUACAUGCUGUAACUGGAGCUCCACCUUGGUACCCCACCGCUGGACCCUCCAAAGAGAGCUCUGACAUGUAUGAAGUUUCAUAUACUCAAUUCCUUUACCGCUGGACUUGUGAGAAUUGUAUGAGGAAGGCCACUUUGAGGAUCAUAUUCAUGCUGGCAAUAAUGACAUGAAAAGCAACAGUAAUAGUAGCAACUAUCGUCAAGGUCCCAUAGGUACCAGUUUUCAUGCUUAACAGCACAACCAUCUCAUCCCUGGAACCAAGCAUCCCUGGAACCAAGCAAGAUCAGUGCUGUUGAUCUUCAUUUUGCAAUUGAGGUAACGGAGGCUCAGUUAACUUAAGUAACUUGUCAGGGGUACAAAGUAAGUAUAAGUGGCUGAGCUGUGAUUCAGAUCCAGGCCCAUCUGAUGCGAUAGCUCAUUCUUUUCUCCAUGACAUCAGGAGGCCUCCUCCUCCCUUGUGUUGCUCAGAGUUCUGAUAAGAAUCAGAUUUCUAGGUGAAUCACAAGAAGGUGACUAUUCUGGUUAGAUAACGGGAGAAUGGGCCCCAUCAUGGCAACAGACUCCUAAGACUCAUACAUCACAAGAAAGGGCUCCCUACAGCUUUGACACUAGGGUGCUUCUCUGUGCACCUCCUUGCUCCCCUCCCAUGAGAAGGACUGUCUUUCAUCCUCAUAGCUAUUAUUUUUGAAACAUCAGUUUUAAUUUGGGGCACCCGCUCUCUUCGGGAGAUUGCAAAAAUUAAAUCGUUUUUAAGCAACCCAACAACACUUCUGGGGUUUGUAAUAAACUUGUGAAAUUUGCGGAACUUGGUGGUUGAGGUUCUCUCCGUCCUACUUCCCUGGGGCCCCGAGGAGCUUUCGAGUUGGUUCUUCAUGCCCUCUUGUUUGGAGCUGCUUUUGUCAACUGGGCCCAGCUACUGCGUCUUGGACCAAGGAGGCGAUGAGCCCUGAAACAGUCCAGGGUCUCUAGGAGAGCAACUCCCAAACCAUGUUUCUGGCCCUGCCUUCCCUCUGUUAUUCUGGGGAAAAAACUGACCCUACGUGGGUGGGAGGUCCCAUCUACAGAGACCAGCCUUGUUUGUUUCCAUAGGAUUUGACUACUGAGGGGCACGAAAAUACAUAGCCAACUUCCCCUUGCAGAGUUCACUGUCUCCCCUUCCAGCAGAUGACUCCAGGAUCCUUGGAAGCAUAGGAACACACCCCAGUUGAUGACACUGUUUCCUCUCCUCUGCAGAAGAAGAUCCUCUCCACUCACAGGAAACAGCAGCAAGAUGGUUUCCAGGCACCAGCUGUCACUGGGCUUGUACUGUUACAGUCCAAGCUGAGCACGCAAGGCAGGGUGUGUUUCUGGCUCCCCAUAGCUGAAAGCUCAACUUCAUGUGGUCAGGUCUUGGAUGGCGUCAAGGCCUGUAGGGUGAACAGAACUCUCUGAGUCACCUUUCCCUGCUGUUCAGGGCCUUGAUAUAACAGACAGGGCCAUUGGCUCCACAGGGGCAUGGUGGGGAAGAAGGGUCCAGGAAGGCACUUUGCCUUUGUGUCUUGUCCUUGGUAUUUGGAGGGCAACACCCCUGUAUUUUUCUAAUCCUAUUAGCUAAGAAUCUGGAACCUGGGCCAGAGGCCUGGGUUCUAACACUAUCUCCACCGUUUCCCAACCAUGGAUACACCCUAUACUUUCCCUCGUCUGUACAGUGGAGCUAAUAAUAGUACCUAACUCAUGGAACUAUCAUGAGUCUUAAAUGAGUGUUAACACGCAUGAAGUGAAGUGCUUAUAUCUGGCAGAUAGUAAAUGUGUAUUAUCAAUUUAAUUUACACUAUUAUUUGACUGUAUUUCUACUAUACAGAGCAACUAUUGCCUGGUCAUAUGUCCUAACAAAUAAACUGUGGAGACAGACAAGUAACUGUCUCAGUGCUAAGGACACCACUGACCCUCAACAGAAUAAUGCCCCCUAAAGAUGUGUAGACCCUAAUCCCCGGAAUCUGGGAAUGUGUUAGGUUACACGGCAAAGGCAAAGGAAGGUUGCAGGAGGAGCUGAGGCUGCAAAUCAGCUGACCUUACAGUGGGAAGAGAAGCCUGAGUUCUCCAGGUGAGACCAAUGUCCAGCAUCCUGGCUGAGCCUGCUCCCUUUACAAACAAGGUUAGGAUUUAUAACUGCUUUCAUGGUAACAUCUGGCUCAUUUCUCUCAAGUUCCCCCAACUCUUUUUUUUUUUUUAGUAUACAAAUCUUUAUUCUAAAGUCAUUUCAUUUCGGCUCAAUUCCUUCUCUCUCUCUUUCUACCUGUUUGUUUGGCCUUUGGAGAUUGAGAAUGAGAAGUAACAGGACUCAUUACCCACAGCUAGUCACAAGAGGAGACAGAGGGAGAGUGAAUGCAAAAGAAAGGUACCAGAGAGGCCACCUUGCUGGCUGUCAAGGUGGAGUAAAGAGGCCACAAGCCAAGGGGUGUAGGCGGCCUGGUCUCUUCUGCAGCUGCUUUUUAAAACUCUAGGACUUUCUUCCACCAACAAAUUCUUUAGGUUUUAUCAGAGUUAGGAGGCAGUUAGCAUCUGCAACAAUAGAAAGAAUAUGUAUUAUUUGGAAUGCUUGUGUGGCUUAUACAGCUCCCAACCAGUUCGGGAGUCUUAACACAUUGUGCUAAAAGAUGCUGAAGGCUGGGUUUCCACUUCCCAAACAAUUUCAUUCUCUAAGAAAACUGCCGAUAAAGAUAAAAAACAUUACAGCCAAAUGGAGUCUUGCCUGAAUCCCAGGCCCUGCCACAUCGACCGCUGGUUCUAUCAGUGGCCAGUGUUCUGGAAACGCUUCCCCGACAUCAAGGAAGCCGGAUCCUCCCCACACAGUGAUGGGUUCUAGGCCAUUUUUGCUGCCUCGGUCUGGGAGCUCACCAUCCUCAGAAGCUCCCAGCACCUGGAGAUGUCUCGCAUCCUGGCUGAGCCUGCUCCCUUUAGCAAACAAGGUCAGGAUUUGUAACUGCUUUUGUGGCAACAUCUGGCUUAUUU